AUUGAACGCUGGCGGCAGGCCUAACACAUGCAAGUCGAGCGAGCGGCGGACGGGUGAGUAAUGCCUGGGAAUUGCCCAGUCGAGGGGGAUAACAGUUGGAAACGACUGCUAAUACCGCAUACUAUUUGAUUGCCCAGGUGGGGUUAGUGAGUUGGUGAGGUAAUGGCUCACCAAGGCGACGAUCCCUAGCUGGUCUGAGAGGAUGACAAGCAACACUGGAACUGGGACACGGUCCAGACUCCUACGGGAGGCAGAAGUGGGGAAUAUUGCACAAUGGGGGAAACCCGGCUGCAGCCAUGCGGCGUGUGUGAAGAAGGCCUUCGGGUUGUAAAGCCCUUUCAGCGAGGAGGCGUUACUCGCAGAAGAAGCACCGGCUAACUCCGUGCCAGCAGCCGCGGUAAUUC
rnacentral:rRNA from 1 species